UACGGGGGGGGCAAGCGUUGUUCGGAAUUACUGGGCGUAAAGGGCUCGUAGGUGGCCAACUAAGUCAGACGUGAAAUCCCUCGGCUUAACCGGGGAACUGCGUCUGAUACUGGAUGGCUUGAGUUCGGGAGAGGGAUGCGGAAUUCCAGGUGUAGCGGUGAAAUGCGUAGAUAUCUGGAGGAACACCGGUGGCGAAGGCGGCAUCUUGGACCGACACUGACACUGAGGAGCGAAAGCCAGGGGAGCAAACGGG
rnacentral:rRNA from 1 species